rnacentral:lncRNA from 1 species
AGUGACCUGAGAUGUAUUGCCUAAGAGCUCUGUUAAGGUGCUUCAACAACAUCAUUCUACCCGGAUUCCAGAGUGAGAUCAGACUCAAGUCUGGCCACAUGGCACAAAUGGACAACCCAUACAUUUGGAGAGACUCCAAGAAAUCCAUCCGAAGCACUGAAUGGUCCUGGCCCUGUUCCAAAAUUUUACUAACCUUCCACAAAUUGGGAUUCCAGACACGUUCUUACCUUGGCCUCCAGGAUAAUGGAAGCCACAAAAGAGACAGAAAUUAAAAUGUCAGCCCAGCUGGGCCCCACAAUGUGGGCCAGCAAUUACAGUGGAACCCACUGCCUCUUAGAUCACCUUAGUGCAGAACAUCUGUGUUUCCUGCAACAAAGAUAAUAAAAUAAUCCAGAGCCCUGUCUUACAUGCUCCUUAACUCUGC